rnacentral:rRNA from 1 species
CCUACGGGUGGCUGCAGUGAGGAAUAUUGGUCAAUGGACGCAAGUCUGAACCAGCCAUGCCGCGUGCAGGAAGACGGCUCUAUGAGUUGUAAACUGCUUUUGUACGAGGGUAAACGCAGAUACGCGUAUCUGUCUGAAAGUAGCGUACGAAUAAGGAUCGGCUAACUCCGUGCCAGCAGCCGCGGUAAUACGGAGGAUUCAAGCGUUAUCCGGAUUUAUUGGGUUUAAAGGGUGCGUAGGCGGGCGGAUAAGUUAGAGGUGAAAUCCCGCGGCUCAACGUCGGAAUUGCCUCUGAUACUGUUCGGCUAGCGUGUAGUUGCGGUAGGCGGAAUGUCUGGUGUAGCGGUGACAUGCUUAGAGUUCAUCCA